CUAAAAAAUGACGGAGAUUGGUUCCGCCCGGACCAUAAUUCUCAAACACCGGGAACUCCGGGAAGGGAAAUCAGGGUUUUAUUGAUCGCAGGUGGAUAGAUGAACGGGGCGAUCGUGGAUUGGGCAGUAUGAAGAGAAGGAGGAGUAUAAAGAGGGCCUCAGGAACUGCAGAGGGGGAGGGGAGUUCUUUGUUUUAUGUGAGCCGAUACGGCGACCCGGACCCUGCGUGAGUUGGAGGGUUCGGGGGAGUACAGUGGAAAGAAGGCAGAGGAUAUUGUUGGCUGGGCAAAGACGGAGACAAGGGUUUGGCAGAAACAGAAACCGGGCUGAGUAUAUUGGGAUGUCUACUUAACUGUGAAAUGCUCCAUGGAUAUGUGUAACAAAUUCGGAGUGGUUGAAAACAGGAAGACUCACCGGAAGUAUCGCCGAAGGAGGCCUUUUCGACAGGGCACGUGGCAGCAGGAGAAGUAUCCAGGAGCUGGAAAGAAGAGGGAAAAGAGACCUCGUGUUAGUAACGGUGUGAGUACCCUAAACCAUCGUACAGCAGUAUAAUCAUCUAGAGUGAACCAUCUGUGAGCGUUUUGUGAGUUGUGGCAUAGUAUGUGAGCGGCCCCACUGGGGAGGAGGAUUGUGGGUGAGCCGGGACCAGUGAGCGAGAGGAUGUUGGGUUGUUGUGGCGGCAACGUAUAAAUCUGAAUAUUCGUGGCAUCAGUGUCUUCACGACUUCCAGGACGAGUCUUUGGUCAGACGGGGUUUUGACCCUAAAUUCACCAGGAGUGUGUGGAGUGCAGUGGGCCUGACGAAAUCCUGUGAAGGAAGCGAGUACCGAGGCGGGCGAAGAAAACAUCUCCAAUUAUAUGCCGUCAAAUGACCUCCUGACCCUUCUUCCCCACGUGACGGUGGUGGGAAACAAUUUCAAGUAAGAACAGUGUGGAUCUAUUGGGAAGUAUCAAUGGUGAGGAGUUGGCUGCUGUAGGAGGAAAUCAGCUGUGUGUGUAUCAUUACCUGUCUGCCCAGAGUGAAGUCCCAGUUAUAUUGGAUGUACUUACCUUUAUGCCCAAAGCUAAAGCCAGCACAUUGUGUUGUACACUCGCCUGUCUGCCCAGAGUGAAGUCCCAGUUGUAUUGGAUGUACUUACCUUAUGCCCAAAGCUAAAGCCAACAUAUUGUGUUGUACACUCGCCUGUAUGCUCAAGUGAAACCCCAGUUGCCUUUCCUACGGGCUUACUUGUGCCCCCGAGUGAAGAGCCAGCGGCCCCUCUGUCCACUAUCCGUGUCCAGUCCUGUUACACUUACCUUUAUGCUCUUGUGCAGAUCUAGCGGGUCCCUUUGAAGCGUCUACCUGCAUGUCGACUCGUCACUCAGGAUACAGAGACCGUGGAAACCCCCUCCCGUACACUUACCAGUACGGUUUUAGUUGGAUCCCGGCAGCCCUUGGGCAGUUCCCCCAGCAUCUGGACGACCGGGAGUAGAACCCGCUGGGCCGCCUCGGAGUUCGUCAAAAGUAGCAGCAGGUAUCCAUUGUGCAUCCAAACUCUCAAUACUUACCACUUGUAUCUGUUACGUCCAGGAAAGGAGAGGGCCCUGGACAGUCGUCCUGCAAGCCAGAACAAAGGG
ensembl:lncRNA